UACGGAGGGGGCUAGCGUUGUUCGGAAUUACUGGGCGUAAAGCGCACGUAGGCGGCUUUGUAAGUUAGAGGUGAAAGCCCGGGGCUCAACUCCGGAAUUGCCUUUAAGACUGCAUCGCUAGAAUUGUGGAGAGGUAAGUGGAAUUCCGAGUGUAGAGGUGAAAUGCGCAGAUAUCAGGAGGAACACCUAUUGCGAAGGCAGCUCGCUGGGACGUAACUGACGCUGAGACGCGAAAGCGUGGGGAGCAAACAGG
rnacentral:rRNA from 1 species